rnacentral:ncRNA from 2 species
UGACCCCUUGCGGGAGAGUCCUGGCGACGCGGGGAACCGCACGUCGGGCGCCGAAGGAGCAAACCCUCCCCGGAAUCUCUCAGGCAUCCGUACCGCAUGGGCGAG